GACGAACGCUGGCGGCGUGCCUAAUUCAUGCAAGUCGAGCGCAGGAAACUGACGGAACUCUUCGGAGGGAAGGCAGUGGAAUGAGCGGCGGACGGGUGAGUAACACGUAAGGAACCUGCCUCAAGGAUUGGGAUAACUCCGAGAAAUCGGAGCUAAUACCGGAUAGUUCAACGGACCGCAUGGUCCGCUGAUGAAAGGCGCUCCGGCGUCACCUUGAGAUGGCCUUGCGGUGCAUUAGCUAGUUGGCGGGGUAACGGCCCACCAAGGCGACGAUGCAUAGCCGACCUGAGAGGGUGAUCGGCCACACUGGGACUGAGACACGGCCCAGACUCCUACGGGAGGCAGCAGUAGGGAAUCUUCCACAAUGGACGAAAGUCUGAUGGAGCAACGCCGCGUGAGUGAUGAAGGUUUUCGGAUCGUAAAACUCUGUUGUAAGGGAAGAACACGUACGAGAGGGAAUGCUCGUACCUUGACGGUACCUUACGAGAAAGCCACGGCUAACUACGUGCCAGCCGCCGCAGUAAAAC
rnacentral:rRNA from 1 species